GACGAACGCUGGCGGCGUGCCUAAUACAUGCAAGUCGAGCGGACUUAAAAAGCUUGCUUUUUAAGUUAGCGGCGGACGGGUGAGUAACACGUGGGCAACCUGCCUGUAAGACUGGGAUAACUUCGGGAAACCGGAGCUAAUACCGGAUAAUCCUUUUCUACUCAUGUAGAAAAGCUGAAAGACGGUUUACGCUGUCACUUACAGAUGGGCCCGCGGCGCAUUAGCUAGUUGGUGAGGUAACGGCUCACCAAGGCGACGAUGCGUAGCCGACCUGAGAGGGUGAUCGGCCACACUGGGACUGAGACACGGCCCAGACUCCUACGGGAGGCAGCAGUAGGGAAUCUUCCGCAAUGGACGAAAGUCUGACGGAGCAACGCCGCGUGAGUGAUGAAGGUUUUCGGAUCGUAAAACUCUGUUGUUAGGGAAGAACAAGUACGAGAGUAACUGCUCGUACCUUGACGGUACCUAACCAGAAAGCCACGGCUAACUACGU
rnacentral:rRNA from 1 species